CUCGUGAACCAAAUAUGGUCGGCUGGGUUGUCUUUGCGGAAACGCUUAGGUGACUUGUCUACGAAUUGUAAUCAUAAUAUGCGCGACGGUGAAUCCUUUGCAGACGACUUGAAUGGGAACGGGGUACUGUAAGUGGUAGAGUAGCCUUGUUGCUACGAUCCACUGAGGUUAAGCCCUUGUUCUAAAGAUUUGUUC
rnacentral:rRNA from 1 species